AACAACUUGGCUCGGUUUGUGGUGAUCAUAUGGCUUUUUGUGGUGCUGAUUCUUACUCAAAGUUACACAGCCAGCUUGACUUCAAUGUUGACAGUUCAACAGCUCAACCCAACCAUCACCGAUAUAAAUGAGCUCAUAAAGAAGGGGGAGCGUGUAGGUUGCCAACAUGCCUCUUUCGUUCAUGAAUUCUUGAUCGAAUCGAUGAAAUUUGAUGAGUCCAACCUUGUAAUCUAUGAGUCAACAGAAGUACUGGAUGAAUUAUUUUCAAAAGGUAGAAUUGCUGCCGCAUUUGAUGAAAUCCCUUACAUUAAGCUUUUCCUUGCAAAAUAUUGCUCCAAAUACACUGCAGUUGGACCAACAUACAAGUUUGAUGGGUUUGGAUUUGUAAGUACUCUCUCAUAACACACGUACUUGUAUGAAUUUUAUACCGAGGUUUCUUAUUUUUGAUCAUUUUUCAGGUGUUUCCAAAGGGUUCACCCCUUGUAGCUGAUGUUUCAAGGCAAGUCUUAAACGUGACUGAGGGAGCUAAAAUGCUACAAUUUGAGAAGGCAUGGUUUGGGCAAACACCCAGUUGUCCAGAGCUCACCAGCUCAGUUUCUUCAGACAGCAUCGGCCUUAAUAGCUUUUGGGGCCUAUUCCUCAUUGCUGGAAUCGCUUCAUUUGUAGCUCUCAUCACAUGCAUCACCACAUUCCUUUAUGAAAAUAGAGAUGCAUUAAUAAACUUGAAUUCCCCAUCUUCCAUAUGGAGAAAAAUUAAAGCCAUGGUGACACGCUUUGAUGACAAAGAUCUUAGGUCCCAUACUUUUAGAAAAAGUGAUCAACUUCAAGACAAGCGGCAUCAAAGCCAUGGAUGCAGCUACACCAACUUCCCUCCAAGUCCAUCGAGCCUUUUGCUCCCAACACACAACAAUUUUUCUUUCUUCAGAGAACAAGGAACACCUUCUUCUGGACAUGCUGAUCCAGUCGGUCCAAAUCGGCCCAUGUCUCCACAUAUAUUGUUUGGAUAUGAGCUUGCUAAUAUAAAUCACGAGCAAACAAGACCGCUUGUAAUUGAAUGACUGAUCGAUCAAUUCGUUUUUCCUGUGUUAUUUAUGCCGAUGGCACCAUUAACCACAAAUAUGAAUUUCAAAAAAAGAAAAAAAAAAGAAAAAACAAAAAUGUAGUUGUGCUAUAGCCAUAGGCAUUUCAGUUAAAUGCCAUCUAUUUGCUAUGAACAAUAAUUCAUCACUAAGAAAUUAUUUUGCUAUGAAAUAAAUGUUAUUGCAAAAAGUCAUUGCUUACCAUAAAAAUAUUGUCUUAGCUAAAAGCGUUAUAAAAAAUGGAGAAAUUUGUUGUAAUGAAUUUUCCAAAAGCUUGCCAGCCGGAUUAGUUUAAUCCAAGAUGGGAUUGAAAAGGAUGAUCGAAGUGGAACAGACUGGACCUUCCGUUUAUGGUAGGACUAGGACAGGGAGGUCCAGUUUUCAAACCAUGGCAGAUAUGACGCAUAACAUUGUUAUAAAAUCUAUAUCAACCAAUGGUUCCUACAUUUUUUACAGGACAUAGAUGACCCGUUACUCAGCCAUUACUUGCACAUGCUUUUUCAUUUUUCUCUCUUUUUUUUUUUUUUUUUGACUUUUUUAAAUGAAAAUCAAAUUUAACCUUCCCACAUUGAUAAUUGCCUUAAAUUCCGUCAAAUUCACGAAUUUAUUGCCGCCUAACACAACAGCUCAACUUCCUGUGCCUUAUCGGCAUAAAAAUAAAUAAAUAAAGAUUGUCCUUGCACUACAUGGUUGACAUUGCUUCGCCACACCCAAGAUCGUUUAUAUAUAUAUAUAUAUAUAUAUAUAUAUAUAUAUAUAUAUAUAUAUAUAUAUAUGGAGUUUUAAAACUACCCACAACUGCCACUAUUAAAAUAAAAUUUAAAAAAACAUAAUUCCUAAUUUUUUUUAAAAAAAAAAAGGAUAAAAAUGAUUCUGGAUACUGUUCCAAAUAAUAAUAAAAUAAAAUAAAAAAGGAAAAGGAUAAGAGCCAUAUGGAAAAUAGGUGCAAAGUGCACCCACCUCUGUAGGAACUUUUGGACUCAAUUGAAAUGGACAAAAAUAAAUAAAUAAAUAAAAUAAAAAAUGGAAAAGAUGAGUGGAAUAGAGGAGCCACAAUUUUCUAGUUAUGGUUUCAAAAAAGCCCUUUUCCAAGACAAAUAAAGUGGAAUAUUAUUCUAAGAUUUUUUUUUUUAAGUAAUAAUAAUACAGAAAAGUUAAAUAUGUUUUAAUCUACUUAUUAACAUCAAAGUUGAAUUACUCUUGUUACUUUUUGAAAUAAUAAUAAAUGAGUAUCUUCUCGAAUUUUUUUUUUGAAGUAACAAUAAUACAAAAAAUUUAAAUAUGUUUUAAUCUACUUAUUAACAUCAAAGUUGAAUUACUCUUGUUGGUUAGAACUUCUCUUAUGCUCACUUGAAGCCCAAAUUCAAGUUUUGAUGCCCUCCUUUGUAUUACAAGUAUCUGUUACUCAUAAAAAAAAAUAAUAAUAAAUGAGUAUCAUGCCCUCAUUUGUAUUACAAGAUUAAAAAAAUGAGGGUCUUAAAUAAAAUAAUAAUAAUAAAUGCGUAUCAUGCCCUCAUUCUUAUUACAAGAUUUAAAAAAUGAGGGUCUUAAAUAUGAGUAUCUAUUACUCAUUGAAAAAAAAUAAAAAGAGAUGAGGGAUUGUCCAUGAAGAGGCUUGAUCCUUUGACUAUAGGUAUAAGAGUCUUGUACUCUACCACCUAAGCUAGAUGUUUUUUGUUUUCAUAAAAGACUGGUUAUUGAAAACAACAUCUAGAGUUAUGGAAGACAUUGUGCAUAAUCCUAAUAUUGUUGUUUCUUUUAGUUUUAAGAGUGAAGAUUAGUUCUUUUUCUACAUGUUACUUUUUUAUGUUUUGUACAUGAAAUGUAAAUAUCUUAUAUGCAAGAUAUGACAUGAAUAUUUAUUGUUUGAUAAACGAGUAUGUCUUUUAUUUACAUGCAUGUCUUCAGUUCUUUUUUAUAUGUUAUUGAUACAUGAAAGUUGUAUAAUAUUUUUUUAUGGAGUGGAAGGUUUUAGGCUAAAAAAAAUUAAUUAACUUCUUGCCUAAAAUUAGAAAUACUUGCAUAGAUUGUUUCUAAUUUGUAAUAAUUAAAAUUGUAUAUGGGAGUUAAUUAAGAACAUAGUGAACUUUCGUUUCUAUUGCAAUUUAAGGUUAUUACAUAUUAGAAGAUGAUUAGAGCAAGUAAAAGUAUCAAUAUCCCUAAAAGUACUAAUUAAUAAAAUUAUGCAAUAUCUCUAAGUAGUUGAAUAUAUUGACUACAAUUAGGAACAUCAUAGCAAAAUUAAAUAAGGAUGAGAAACUAAAUGGCGAUAACUAUGAGGUUUGACAUCACAAAGUUCAGUAUAUCCUUAUAGAGCAAGAGGCUCUUGAAAUACUGAAUCAUGUCAUGUAAGACCCUAAAUAAGGAAACUCUGCUCAAUAUAGAAAAGAUCAAGAGGCUUAUAUGGCUUAGAAGAAAUAGAGUUGUCUUCCUCUCAAAUCAUAAUAUCAUAUUAUAUUUUAUUAUUAUAUUAAAAAAAAAUCUUAUAAACAAGGUUUUGUACCGUGUUUGAUUGCUGACAGUAGAGUAGAAAUUUAUUCAUUCAUUUAAAUGCUUGUUGAUCGUUUGAGCCUACCUACUCUUGAACUUAGUUGUAGACCUCUUAAAAAAUGAAGAAGUGGAAGCCACAAUAGGGUCGAGAUCAUUGACGUAGGCCAACUUCAUGAUCAACCUUGGAAGCAAAGCUCGAGUGUCCAUCAUUUCAUUUUCUUCAACAAGUCCCUUUCUUUCUCCGCUUCAGAGUCAAUAUUUUAUCCAAGCUACCCUAUAUGACUCAACUCAAGUACCGGUAAUAAGGGCAUUAGUCUAGGCCUUUGGAUGGAGAGAAGUUGUGCUUAUCUAUGAGGACAACGAGUAUGGGAAUGGAGUUAUACUAUCUCUGACUAUUGCCAUGCAGGAGGUGGACACACAUGUGACUUAUCGAAGCUUCAUUCAUCCGUUGGCAACUAAUGAUCAAAUCGUUAAAGAACUUUACAAGUUAAUGAUGAUGUCAACUAGGGUUUCCAUUAUGCAUAUGCUUAAGCCUCUUGGCUCCCAACUUUUACCUAAGCAAAUGAGGUUGGAAUGAUGGAAAAAGGCUAUGUUUGGAUACUAACUGAUGGGAUAACUAACUUCUUGAGUACCUUGGAUGAUUCAGCCAUUGAUUCGAUGCAAGGGGUGUUGGGUGUCAUGUGACGCCCCAAGACCCACUCCAAGGGCUGACGGUCAUUUUACACCUCAAACCCGAAGGCUUACAGUGUAACCUAACCCAAACAAUUAUCUUGUAAUUGGAAGUUACCAAUUACCAAAUAUCUGUUCAGAGUAGUGGAACAAAAUCUAAAAUCCUCAAAAUUCAAUUUCAAAACUAAAACAUUCACUAUCCAAAAUCCAUUGUCCAAAUAUUUGCAAACUUAAACAAUUCAAGUACUAAAACAAAUUUCAAAAUCUCCAACACUCAACUUUGAUCUAACAUAAAAUUUGAAGGAUCAAUAUCCAAAUAACUUCCAAAUACCAAGGAUCCAAAUGAACAUAACUAACAGUUAAACAAAAUCCAACAUAAAAUCCUAAGUCAAAUCCUAAUGAUGACCAUUCCUCAGCCUAGCCAUCACUCCUCACCCGAACUAAGGAUACCUGAAAAUUUUUCAACAAUUGGGAAUGAGCUCACAACCCAAUAAGGAAUAUUAAUGCAGUUCAUGGAUCAAAUAUUUUCAUUUCAAAUAGGAGAUAUCAUUUUUUUUUCUCAUCAAAUAUCAGAGUUUCAAAAAUACCAAUAUAUUCAAAAUUCAACCAACCAUUUUCAUAUCAAAUUCAAACACUUUCACAUAAGAUUCAAUCAAAUCCAUUCAAUUUUCAUUACUCUGGUUAUCAAAUAUCAAAUGCCCAGUUAGGUGGGACUUUUCAAAUGGGUGGCUAGCCUCAAAUUGUUCCUGGUGGACGGAACCAAGCACUACUAGUACUAGUAACCUCUAACCAAACCCCUAGAGGCUGGGGUCCAAAUCAAUUACAUUCCCACCAUGAAAUGUAAAGGUCAACUAUUAUAUCCCGUUAACAUGGCCGAAUAGUCAACUAUUAUAUCCCGUUGACAAGGGCCAAAUAAACUAGAGUGAUGUUUUUGUUCAAGUAUUCAAAUUUACACAACAUAAUAUCUCCAUAUUUUGUGUCAUAAAUAAAACAAAAUAUUCCAACAUAAUAUUUAGUGCAAAACAGUUUGAUCCAUGCAUGGUAACAAAAUAUCAUUUUCUUUUCCACAAUUCAAAAUAACAUAUAAAAUAAUUUAAAUUUUAUAAAUAUUGCAUUAACUUCCCUUACCUCAAAAGAAGUCCUUGAAAGCUUGAGAGAAGAAUAAUUCUGAAAAAAAAAUCUACUCUUCACCUAAUAUAACAUAAGAGAAACAAUUAUUACUAUUUAUUUAUAAUUUAACUAAUCUAUUUCUUAUUUAAAUAAAACUAAUAAAUUCCCAAUUUGUUUCUAAUAACACAUUACUAAUUUAAUUAAAUUACAAUUUUAUUUCAUUAUAAAAUUCUAUAUAUAUAUAUAUAUAUAUAUAUAUAUAUAUUGCUAAAUCUCUCAUUCUAUUUAUUACAAAAAAAAGACUAUUAUUACUAUUAUCUUAAUUAUUAAUCUAAAACUAAAUAUUAUUAUUUUAAUUAACCAAUUCAAAAGCCACUCAACCAUUACCUAGUUGUCUCAGGUACACCAAACCCAAAAGCAAGUUUUUUUUUUUCAUUGCCAUCAUCAUGAUUCAUUUUAUAUAUAUAUAUAUAUAUAUAUAUAUAUAUUCCUUCCAUUUGGCACACGCCCCCUUUUCUUUUCUUUUUUUUUCUCCUUGCUUCCAGUAACACAGUACACGCGUACAACCCUUUUUUUUUUUUUCCUUCCUUCCUUCCUUCCAGUGUUGUGCACACGCGUUCUUUUUUUUUUUUUUUUUUUACAUUUUCUAAUCCCUUCAACCACAAAUAAUAAUAUAUUUAUUUACUCCUUUUUUUUUUCUUUUUUCUUUUUUUUUUUUAAAUUAACCCUAACCUAAAAUCGAAACCUUCUAAGGGAUUUUUUUUUUUUCAUCUAAUAAAACUUAAGAUCUCCCAAAUUCCAAUAAUAAAAUCAAAAUCUUAAAUUUUUUUAUUAUUUUGAUUUUAAAACAAAUUAAAAAUAAAAUAAACUAACCCUAAUCUAGAUUUGGGUUUUCCAAAAGAUAUCUAAUGUGUUUGAAAUUAAUCAAUAAAUCUAAAAUAUUAAACUAGGGGUUAGAAUCUUACCUAUAGAGACCUGUUCUUCAACCCUGAAAUCUGACUUCAACCUACGUUCUCUGAAAUUCUGCGAAUAGGAACUCUAUUCAGAAAAGAAUAGGAAGAAAUAGAAUUUCUAAUUUAUACCUAGGGUAUUUAUUCAUAAAAUUACACUUUUACCCCUCUUCCGCUUUAUUAAAUUAAUUAAUUAAUUAAUUAACUAAUUGAAUUAUUAUUAGUAAUUUCCUAAAUUACCCUUAAAAAAAAUACUUGGGCGUUACAUCCUCCCCUCCUUAACAAAAGUUUAGUCCUCUAAACUUGACAUACCUGAGUCUUGAAAUAAUUGAGGAUGUUUUUCUCUCAUCUCUUCUUCUAACUCCCAAGUGGCCUCUCGGAUACUAUGAUUGCUCCAUUGGACCUUUACCAACUUGACAACAGCAUGUCGCAAUACCUUAUCCAUCACAUCCACAAUUUGAACGGGUACCUCUUCAUACGUCAAGUCCUCCGAAAUUUGAAUAGACUCCAACUCCACAACAUGAGAUGGAUCAUAAAUAUACUUCCUCAAGGUUGAAACAUGGAAAACAUUAUGAAUCUUAGAUAGACUUGGGGGCAAGGCUACUUUAUAUGCCAAAGUGCCUACUCUUUCUAAUAUUUCAAACGGACCCACAAAAUGAGGACUAAGUUUUCCUUUUCUCCCAAAUCUCAUCACAGACUUCAUAGGUGAAACUUUCAAGAACACAUGAUCACCCACCUCAAACUCCAAAUCUCGCCUACAAUGAUCAGCAUAACUCUUAUGUCUACUUUGAGCUGCUUUUAAUCUUUCUUUAAUCAAAGCAACUUUUUCAACAGUCAACUGCACAAGUUUAGGCCCCAAAAGUUUCCUAUCUCCAACAUCAUUCCAACAGAUAGGAGAUCGACAUUUCCUACCAUACAAUGCCUCAAAAGGUGCCAUCCCAAUGCUAGCUUGAAAACUACUGUUAUAGGCAAACUCUGCUAAAGGUAAAUGAUCAUCCCAAUUACCUUGCAGGUCCAAAAUACAAUCUCUCAAUAAGUCUUCUAAAACCUGAAUUACCCUUUUUGAUUGGCCAUCAGUUUGAGGAUGGAAAGUAGUACUAAAACUCAACUUAGUGCCCAAAGCUUUUUGUAGACUAUGCCAGAAUCUAGAAGUGAAACGAGGAUCUCUGUCAGACACUAUAGAAACUGGUACUCCAUGCAUUCUCACAAUCUCCUUCACAUAAAGAGAAGCUAAACGAUCUAAAGAAAAGUUGACUUUCAUAGGCAAAAAGUGAGCAGACUUUGUCAACCGAUUAACAAUCACCCAAAUAGCAUUAUUACCCCCUAAGGUUCUUAGCAAUCCUAUCACAAAAUCCAUGGUAAUAUGCUCCUACUUCCACUCAGGAAUAGCAAGUGGCUGCAAAGACCCUACUGGUCGUUGAUGCUCAGCCUUCACCUAUUGACACACUAAACACUGAGCCACAAAUUGUGCAAUAUCACGCUUCAUACCUGACCACCAAUAGUUUUGCCUCAAAUCCUUGUACAUCUUUGUCCCUCCUGGGUGGAUUGCAAACUUGGAACGAUGAGCUUCCUCUAAAAGCUCCCUCCUUAAGUCUUCAUCAUUUGGGACACAAAGUCUAGUCCCAAAUCUCAAGAUCUCAUCAUCUGACAAAACAAAAUCAGGCUUACUGCCCCUCUUAACUUCCUCCAUAACUUGCACUAAUUGGGAAUCAUUCUUUUGUAGGGUCUUAAUUCUCCCAACUAAGUCUGGUUGUACUCUGAAAUUUGCUACAAGUGCUCCUAAGCCCAUAACUCGAAAGUGGACUGGUAAACUCCUCAACUCGUCAAGUAAACUGCCUUUGACAGCCUCUAAUAGCUGCUAGAGAACUAACUGACUUCCUACUCAAGGCAUCAACUACAACAUUCGCCUUCCCAGAAUGAUACUGAAUAAUACAAUCAUAGUCCUUAAGUAGUUCUAUCCAUCUUCUCUGUCUCAUGUUCAACUCCUUUUGGGAAAAUAGAUACUUCAAACUCUUAUGAUCUGUGAAUAUCUCACAAGUUUCACCAAAAAAAAAAAUGUCUCCAAAUCUUAAGUGCAAAAACCACAACAGCUAACUCCAAAUCAUGAGUAGGGUAAUUCCUUUCAUAAGGCUUCAACUGUCUAGAAGCAUAAGCUACAACUCUCCCAUGCUGCAUAAGAACACAACCUAAACCCUGAUGAAAGGCAUCACUAUACACCACAAAUCCUCCUGAACCUGAAAGGAUAGUCAAAAUAGGAGCUAACACUAAUCUAUUCUUCAACUCUUGGAAGCUACAUUCACAAUCAUCAGACCACUCAAACUUAACUCCCUUCUGUGUCAACUUAGUUAAAGGUAGGGCAAUCUUAGAGAACCCUUCUAUAAACCGCCUAUAGUAACCAGCAAGUCCCAAGAAAUUUCGAAUCUCAGUCACAGUACUAGGUCUUCUCCAAUUGGCUACAACAUCUACCUUGCCAGGGUCAACUGAGAUGCCAUCAUUGCUUACCACAUGCCCAAGGAAAGAAAUUCGGUCUAACCAAAACUCUCACUUCUUUAGUUUAGCAUACAACUGCUUAUCUCUGAGGGUCUGUAAUACAAUACUCAAAUGACCCUCAUGCUCCUCUCUACUUCUUGAGUAUACCAAGAUGUCAUCUAUAAAAACCACCACAAACUAAUCUAAAUAGGGUUUGAAUACCUUAUUCAUCAAGUCCAUAAAAGCAGCAGGUGCAUUAGUCAAACCAAAAGGCAUAACAAGAAACUCAUAGUGCCCAUACCUAGUUCGAAAAGUAGUCUUGGGUACAUCUUCCCCUCUAACCCUCAACUGGUGAUAACCCGAUUGAAGAUCUAUCUUAGAGAACACACAAGCACCUUGUAGCUAAUCAAACAAAUCAUCAAUCCGAGGAAGGGGAUGCUUGUUCCUCAUUGUCACCUUAUUCAACUCCCUAUAGUCAAUGCAAAGUCUCAUUGAGCCAUCCUUCUUUUUUACAAAUAGAACAGGAGCUCCCCAAGGUGAAACACUAGGCCUGAUAAAACCCUUGUCUAAUAACUCCUGAAGCUGAACUUUCAACUCCUUAAGCUCCACAGGUGCCAUCCUAUAUGGGGCCUUAGACAUAAGACCUGUUCCUGGUACCAGAUCGAUGGAGAACUCCACCUCUCUCUCUGGUGGCAAGCCAGGCAAAUCCUCUGGAAAGACAUCAGGAUACUCCCUUACUAUGGGUAUGUCUUCCAACUUCAAAUCACUUUCAUUACUCAUCACACUAGCCAAAAAUCCUUGGCAACCCUUCUUGAGCAAGCUACUAGCUCGCAAGGCUGAGAUCAUACGCAGUAGUCUGUCCACAUGCUUCCCUUCAAAGCUAAACUUAGGCUGACCAGGAAUACUAAACGUCACCCUUUUCUCAAAACAGUCAACAGAGGCAUGGUAGGAAGCUAACCAAUCCAUCCCCAAAAUCACAUCAAAAUCCUGAAAGUCAAGGAAUACUAAGUCAACUGGCAUUUCCCUAUAACCAAUCAUCACAAUAUAAUUUCUAAGCAUUCUACUGGCCACAAUAGAAUCUCCCACAGGAGUAGCAACAAUCAAAUCAAAGUUCAUGCUAGCAACAGGCAAACCCAACAAACCAGCAAAAGAUACUCAAACAAAAGAGUGUGUUGAUCCAGGAUCAAUCAAGACUCUAGCAAAUAAGGUGUGGAUUCAGAAAGUACCUGUCACCACAUCAGAAGUGGCCUGAGCAUUUCGAUGACUCAUAGCAAACACCCGUCCUUGGGCUUUGGGUUUCUGUUUAUCCUCCUUAUUUUCCUCUUUAUGCUUCCCAAUGAUGAACUUCCUAUUCUCUGGACAAUCUCUGAUCAAAUGUCCUUGCUUCCCACAACCAAAGCAAGCUCCAGUCUCUCUAUAGCAUGGCCUACCCCCAUGCUUCUUACCACAAGUAGGACAAGCCCCAUCUAAAUUUUGUGCUGCCUUCCCUUUAUUCUGAUUUCUUCCUGAUGUAGACUUUCGCUGUGCUUGAUUACCAUGAGCCCUUUGUUGUUCCCUAUACUAAUGAAGCUCCUCAUUAUCUUUUUCUGCUUUAAGGGCUCUGUCAACAACCUCUGAAUAGACACCAAGCUUCAGAAUAGAUAUAUUGUUCUUCAAAUAAGGCUUCAAUCCAUCCUGAAACUUUAAUGCCUUUUCCUCCUCUGUAGCAAUCAACUAUGGGGAAAAACGUGAUAACUCUGUAAAUUUGGCCUCAUACUGAGCCACAGUCAUAUCCCCAUGUUCCAAACGAAUAAACUCUCCCACCUUCUGCCGCCUAACACUGUCAGGGAAAUACUUCUUGUAGAAAGCCUCCCUAAAUUGUCUCCAUGUUAUGGGUCCCUGAUCCUCCAAAAGUCUCCUAGUCAUACGCCACCAAUGAUCUACCUCUUUAUCUAACAUAAAACCUGCAUAAGAGGCUUCCUCAGAGCAAUCUAUGACACCAAAGAAUUUCUCCAUCUUAAGGAUCCAAGUCUUUGCCUUUGUGGGAUCUGUAGCACCAGAAAAGUAAGGAGGACCCAAUUUCUUGAAGUCAUCAAAAAAGCUACCCCUAGAAGAUGAAGACUGUACCUGAACAUUAGUCCCAACAGCUCGAGCUUGGCGUUCAACUAAACCAGCUAGUGUCCCAAGAUACCUAUAGAUCCCUUCUGCACUCACGGGAGGCAAACCCUCAACUGGAGGUACAUCAUCAUUAGCCUGACUGUUUUGUGAAGAAUUUGCUCUUCUUGGUGGCAUGAUGUCCUCAAAUUAUAAGGCAUAACUAAAUUAGUCACUAAAGAACCAAUUAGAAAAUUUACAAAUAAAGAAAGAAUUGGAAUUUAUACUAAAUGAAACUAAAACUUAAACAAAUGUGUCACUCAUCUAUCCCCAAUCUAAACCAAUUCAAAUUCCCAUCAAGAUCAAAACCUAGUGCUCUGAUACCACUCUGUCACACCCCAAGACCCACUCUAAGGGCGUGACGGUCAUUUUACACCUCAAACCUGAAGGCUUACAGUGUAACCUAACCCAAAUAAUUAUCUUGUAAUUGGAAGUUACCAAUUACCAAAUAUCUGUUCAGAGUAGCAGAACAAAAUCUAAAAUCCUCAAAAUUCAAUUUCAAAACUAAAACAUUCAUUAUCCAAAAUCCAUUGUCCAAAUAUUUGCAAACUUAAACAAUUCAAGUACUAAAACAAAUUUCAAAAUCUCCAACACUCAACUUUGAUCUAACAUAAAAUUUGAAGGAUCAAUAUCCAAAUAACUUCCAAAUACCAAAAGAUCCAAAUGAACAUAACUAACAGUUACACAAAAUCCAACAUAAAAUCCUAAGUCAAAUCCUAAUGAUGACCAUUCCUCAGCCUAGCCAUCACUCCUCACCCGAACUAAGGAUACCUGAAAAAUUUUCAACAAUUGGGAAUGAGUUCAUAGCCCAAUAAGGAAUAUUAAUGCAAUUCAUGGAUCAAAUAUUUUCAUUUCAAAUAGGAGAUAUCAUUUUUUUUUUCUCAUCAAAUAUCAGAGUUUCAAAAAUACCAAUAUAUUCAAAAUUCAACCAACCAUUUUCAUAUCAAAUUCAAACACUUUCACAUAAGAUUCAAUCAAAUCCAUUCAAUUUUCAUUACUCUGGUUAUCAAAUAUCAAAUGCCCAGUUAGGUGGGACUUUUCAAAUGGGUGGCUAGCCUUAAAUUGUUCCUGGUGGACGGAACCAAACACUACUAGUACUAGUAACCUCUAACCAAACCCCUAGAGGCUGGGGUCCAAAUCAAUUACAUUCCCACCAUGAAAUGUAAAGGUCAACUAUUAUAUCCCGUUGACAAAAGCCAAAUAAACCAGAGUGAUGUUUUUGUUCAAGUAUUCAAAUUUACACAACAUAAUAUCUCCAUAUUUUGUGUCAUAAAUAAAACAAAAUAUUCCAACAUAAUAUUUAGUGCAAAACAGUUUGAUCCAUGCAUGGUAACAAAAUAUCAUUUUCUUUUCCACAAUUCAAAAUAACAUAUAAAAUAAUUUAAAUUUUAUAAAUAUUGCAUUAACUUCCCUUACCUCAAAAGAAGUCCUUGAAAGCUUGAGAGAAGAAUAAUUCUGAAAAAAAAAAUCUACUCUUCACCUAAUAUAACAUAAGAGAAACAAUUAUUACUAUUUAUUUAUAAUUUAACUAAUCUAUUCCUUAUUUAAAUAAAACUAAUAAAUUCCCAAUUUGUUUCUAAUAACACAUUACUAAUUUAAUUAAAUUACAAUUUUAUUUCAUUAUAAAAUUCUAUAUAUAUAUAUAUAUAUAUAUAUAUAUAUUUUGCUAAAUCUCUCAUUCUAUUUAUUAAAAAAAAAAACUAUUAUUACUAUUAUCUUAAUUAUUAAUCUAAAACUAAAUAUUAUUAUUUUAAUUAACCAAUUCAAAAGCCACUCAACCAUUACCUAGUUGUCUCGGGUACACCAAACCCAAAAGCAAGUUUUUUUUUUCCAUUGCCAUCAUCAUGAUUCAUUUUAUAUAUAUAUAUAUAUAUAUAAAAGGCUUCCUUCCAUUUGGCACACGCCCCUUUUCUUUUUUUUCUUUUUUUCUCCUUGCUUCCAGUAGCACAGUACACGCGUACGCCUCUUUUUUUUUUUUUUUUUCCUCUUCCUUCCUUCCUUCCAGUACAGGCACACGCGUUCUUUUUUUUUUUUUUUUUUUUUUUUUUUUUUACAUUUUCUAAUCCCUUCAACCACAAAAAAAAAAAAAUUUAUUUACUCUUUUUUUUCUUUUUUUCUUUUUUUCUUUUUCUUUUUUCUUUUAAAUUAACUCUAACCUAAAAUCGAAACCUUCCAAGGGAAUUUUUUUUUUUUCAUCUAAUAAAACUUAAGAUCUCCCAAAUUCCAAUAAUAAAAUCAAAAUCUUAAAAUUUUUUAUUAUUUUGAUUUUAAAACGAAUUAAAAAUAAAAUAAACUAACCCUAAUCUAGAUUUGGGUUUUCCAAAAGAUAUCUAAUGUGUUUGAAAUUAAUCAAUAAAUCUAAAAUAUUAAACUAGGGGUUAGAAUCUUACCUAUAGAGAUCUGUUCUUCAACCCUGAAAUCUGAUUCCAACCUACAUUUUCUGAAAUUUUGCGAACAGGAACUCUAUUCAGAAAAGAAUAGGAAGAAAUAGAAUUUCUAAUUUAUACCUAGGGUAUUUAUUAGUAAAAUUACACUUUUACCCCUUUCCACUUUAUUAAAUUAAUUAAUUAACUAAUUGAAUUAUUAUUAGUAAUUUCCUAAAUUACCCUUAAAAAAAAUACUUGGGCGUUACAUGUCAAGCCCCAUGUUCCAAGAACCAAAGAGCUUGAAUGUUUUAAAAUCAAAUGGAAAAAAAAAAUCCAAGAAGAAUAUCCAACCAAUGAAAUCUUUGAGCUAAAUAUUUUUAAACUUUAGGCUUACGAUGUUGCUUCUGCACUAGCCAUGGCAAUUGAAAAACUUGGCACGGGAAACUUUAGCCUCCAAAAGACUAACAUUUUCAGAGAUUCAACUGGUUUUGAGAGGUCCAAAUAUUCUCCAUUCACUAUUAAGUACUUGAUUUAAAGGCCUUAGUGGAGAUUUUCAAAUUGGAGAUGAGCAACUACACACAUCAGGUUUGCAGAUAGUUAAUGUGAUUGGUGAAGAGGAAAGAGGGGUUGGAUUUUAGACACCAGAGAAUGGAAUUUUAGGAAGAUCGAAUUCUACUUCUAAGUCCAAUCUAAGAGCCAUUACAUGGCCAAGAGAAUCUACUUUUGCUUCCUAAAGGUUGGGUGUCUCCUACCAACGGAAAGAAGAUGAAGAUAGGAGUUCCAAUGAAAGAGGGUUUUAAUGAAUUUGUGAAGGUGACGCAAGAUCCUAUCCCUAAUACAACAAAGGUCAUUGGUUACUUCAUCGCUUUCUUUGAUGUUGUAAUGGCAACAUUUGCCAUAUGUAGUUCCUUAGGAGUAUGUUCCCUCCGAGAAACCUGAUGGAAUGGUGGUUGCUAGUAGCUAUGAUGAAUUGAUAUCUCAAGUAUAUUUCCAGGUCAUCCAUACUCUUUAGAUUCCCUAAUACACAAAAAUUUUCAUUCAACUAUGGUCAUCAACUGUUAAAUAGAGGGAAACUGCCAUCCUUUUGCAAUGAAAUAUCUCACCAAUUUUACCUCUACUUUUAUGAUGAACAAAUGUAUGACAAUGUGGUGGGAGAUACUACUAUUCUAGCGAACAGGUCUUUGUAUGUAGACUUUACACUACCUUACACCAAGUUUGGCAUAUCAACGAUCAUGCCCAUCAUUGAUAAUAGAAGUAAAAAUGCAUGGGUCUUAAAUAUGAGUAUCUGUUACUCAUUGAAAAAAAUAAAAAGAGAUGAGGGAUUUCCCAUGAAAAGGCUUGAUCCCUUGACCACAAGUAUAAGAGUCUUGUACUCUACCAACUAGGCUAGAUGUUUUUUGUUCUCAUAAAAGAUUGGUUAUUGAAAACAACAUCUAGAGUUAUGGAAGACAUUGUGCAUAAUCCUAAUAUUGUUGUUCCUUUUAGUUUUAAGAGUGAAGAUUACUUCUUUUUCUACAUGUUACUUUUUUAUGCCUUGUACAUGAAAUGUAAAUAUCAACAUAAGCGACAAGUGUGGUGUGUUGCAUCCCUAAGCACUUCGCUUUCAACUUAAUGUGGCAAGAAAUUGAUUACUACUCAAAAAGUGCUAUUUGAUAGCCUAUAAUUAAUCCUUUUAAACACUUUUGAGUAGUAGUUUAGGCCUUUUAACUCAAUUGGCAUGUUAAGGAUCCUUUAAAGCAAUUUUGAUCACUUUGUGUAAGUUUUGGUGUUUUUGUUAGUAUUUUGAUCACCAAAGCAAGUCAAGAAUGAGGAGAGCUAUGAGGAAUCUUGGGCAAAGCUUAGAAUUCAUUUGCCAAGAGUGAAUUCGGAUUGCAAGGAGAAAAAGCAAAGAGAAUCUGCCAUGAAGCCUAUUCUUGAUGACAGUCUUAGCAGCCACUUUUGGAGCACUUUCUGAAGUCCAAAUGAUGCAUGUUAUAUACCAUUUCAAAUCUCAGGAAGUCAACAAUCCAAUUCUUCAAACGGUGUGCAAUUUGGAGUUGAAACGAAGAAGUUACAGCCACUGCAAGUCAAUCACUCUAAAAUGCUGCGGAAUCAGCCUUUUGUUGCGAGAAUUUCGCAGCACUUUUGUACAGUAAGGUGUUUCUCCUUCUGACGAUGCACGAACCAUGCCGCUAGAAGGGAGCUGGGAACCUCAAGGUGGAAGCCAACUUCGUAGCCCUGUGAAGAUAGCUCGGUGUUGCGAAAUAAUUUCGCAGCCCUCUUGGGUGUCUGCGAAAUUUCGCAGACACCAUUUUACUCUUGCGAAAUGGUUCCUGAAGCCUCCCGAAGCUUGCUACCGACAUUGGGAGAUAUUUUCCAUUAGAUUUUUGUUGUCUAAAUCCCAAAAUACUCCUUGUAAACCACCAAUUACAUGAUUCCUUAGUUUUUAAGUUAGUAAAAAGACCAAAUAUCUUUGUAACAAUUAGUUUUAUAUUAAUUUGAUAUAUAUACCUCUCGAGAGCCUGUUCUCUGGGAGGAGUUCCUUCUGUAACCGUUUGGUAAGCAAGUAAAGGUCUUUUCUUUCUACUGCCUUACCUUCUCACUUUGUAUUUUCAUUUUAUUUUUAAGUUAUGAAUUCUCUGAGGAGUUUUCCCCAGAGAAUAAGUAACUAAACCUCCAAUUCCUUGGAGCUAAGGUUGUCGGGGAAGGUUCCAAGUGCAAGAAUGCAAAGCUUUGUGGUUUUAGCUAGUAAUGAAGAGGAAGUGAAAUCCUUUAGUGAUUUCAAUGUUUUUAGUUAACUUAAAACACCUUAGAGUCACCUGGGCCAACACUUGGUAAGGCAAGUGAUUUCCAACCAUGGAAAUGCACUAGUUUACCCCUUGCGAGCCUCUGGGAGGUGACUUCAGGGUAGGAUUUUCUAGAAUAGCCAACACUUGAUAAGCUUUUGGACUCCUAGGAGACAUCCAUUAGUUAUCUCUUGCGAGCUUUUGACGGGUAAUCCAAGGUUAAAGAUCACCUUGAAUGGUAAGUGCUCGUGAGAGGCAUGAACCAUUGCAAGUUGCAUCAGUGAGAGAAUUAAAGUGAAAUCUAAUUGAAGGAGUCUCUGUACAUCACCGGUUAGAGAAUUGACUCUAAGUUGAAUCUCUAAUGCGAGGAAAUGAACCAUUUGACCGGAGCUAUGUCUUUUGCAUGAGGAACCACCCCAGUGAACCUAAAUCUCCAAGGAAUGUUUUUCUUCCUAAAUUAUUCCAAACUUCUGUUAAGAUAGUUAGUUUAAGUCUCAACCUUUACCAAUCAAAGUUUUUGUUUUAUUUCUUAAGCUAACCUUGAAAUGAAACAAGACCAAUUCACUUGGAAUUGGUAUCCUUGAUUGCUUGUUAAUCAUUCCCAGUGAACGAUCCUAGAGCCACUAUACUAUAGUAGCUUUUUAUUUGCUACCCUAGUGUAUGGUGUUAUAGGUAUAAAUUUUGUUGAUCACUUCCUCAAUCAAGGAGCACCAGCUGAACACAAAUCAGCUGAGACACCAAUUGGGCAUGAAUCAGAAAUAUUAGUAAAAUUUUUAAUAUUCUCCUUGUACUCGGAGCACAAAUUUCACUUACCCUCAUGAUUCAAACAAGGAGUAGAUAACAACUAUGACUUGUUACUUAUUAGUCAUGCUAUUACUGAUUGCCAUCAAAUCACAAAUUAAGGUUAACAUUGUCCUUAAAUGUUCAAUCAUGGUGUGUUUGGGGUCCAUAAUAUAUUGCUCAAACUUCAAAGUGAGUGCUCACAACCUAGUCAUAGAUGUUAAACCAUAGACAAUCUUGACCUUAUUCCACAUGCCUUAAGCAGUAGGGCAGUUCUCAAACUCCUUUAUUAAGUCAUUAUGCAUGCUAUUCAACUUAGUGAAACAUGCACAACAAUCUCUUUUAACCUAAGAAUAAUAAGCUUCCAUAUCGUGGUGGUCGUGGGUUGGAUUCCUUUAUUUGAGAUUACUUUUACAAUUUUACCUUUAUUUUGAGUCACCUAUCCAAAUCGCCCUAAAAAAAAUGAGAGGAAGAAAAUGGGAGAAAAAAAGGGAUGGAGGGAUGACGAAAAUGUCGUCGGCGCCACGCCAUCGACAGUGUGUGGAGGAAGAAAAGGAAAUAGAGAAAACGGUAAAAAAAAAAAUAUAUAAAAAAUGGGGUUGACUGGUGUGUGGGUGUUGGGUUGCAGGGAAAAGAAAAAAAUAAAAAAAUAAAGGAGAUGGGGAGCGAGUCAAGUGUGGUGUUGGGAGAGAGAAGGAAAAAAAAUGAACAGAAAGAGAGCCGGCCACACCCAAAAAAAAUGGAAGAGCCAAAUAAGGAAGAAGAGGUGGGUAGCUUAAAGAAGAAGAAAUCAAAUAAAAAAAGAAAAAAAAAAGUGGAGGGAAAAUGAAAUGGGGGAUGGUGGUCUUGGGAAUGGGGAAGGUAUGGGAGGAGAGAGAGAGAGUGAGUGGGGUAGUUGGGGAAGGUAGGAAGAGAGAGGAGAGAGGAGAAAGGAGAGAAAAAAAAAGAAAAAAAAUAUAAUAUAAUAUGAUAUAAUAUAACAAUAAUAAUAAUAAAAUAAAAUAAUAUACAAAAUAAUAAAAACUAAGAAUUAAAUGGUAAGUAGAUCAAAAAUAUCAUAUGUAAUUAGGAUUUAAAAUUUAAGGAUAAAAUUGAGCUUAAAAUCAAUGUAAAAAAAACUUUAGACAAAUUUUGGAGUCUACACAUAUGUGAUCAAUGCCCCACCAAGACCAAGCCAAGUGAAUAUUAUUUCCAGUUUCUUUUCUCCGAAUGGAACUCAAGUUCAACACUUGGAGAAAAAAGGGAUGGGGGGAUGACGAAAAUGCCAUCGGCAUCAUGCCAUCGAGAGUGUGUGGAGAAAGAAAAGGAAAUGGUGAAAAAGGUAUAAAAAAAAUAAAAAAAAAGUGGGGUCGACUAUUGUGUGGGUGUUGGGUUGCAGGGAAAAGAAAAAAAAUAAAAAUAGAGAGGAGAUGGGGAGAUGGGGAGCCGGUGGGUGUGCUGUUGGGAGAGAGAAGAAAAAAAAAAAGGAACAGAAGGAGAGCCGGCCACGCCCAAAAAAAAUGGGAGAGCCAAAUGAGGAAGAAGAGGAAGAAGAAAUCAAAUAAAAAAAGAAAAAAAAUGGAGGGAAAAUGAAAUGGGGGAUGGUGGUCUUGGGAAUGGGGAGGUAUGGGAGGAGAGAGAAAGUGGGUGGGGUAGUUGGGGAAGGUAGGAAGAGAGAGGAGAGAGGAGAAAGGAGGAAAAAAAAGAAAAUAAAUAAAUAAAAAUAUAAUAUAAUAAUAAUAAUAAUAAAAUAAUAUAAAAACUAAUAAUUAAAUGGUAAGUUGACCAAAAAAUAUAAAUUUAAAAUUGAGUUCAAAAUAAAUGUAAAAAAAAAUUAGGACAAAUUUUGGAGUCUACACAUAUGCGAUCAAUGCCUCACCAAGACCAAGCCAAGUGAAUAUUAUUUCCAGUUUCUUUUCUCUGAAUGGAAAACUCAAGUUCAACACUUGGAUCUCAGACCAUGAUAUUUUAUCUACAGUUCAUGAGUUUCAUUGACCCUGUGCUUCAUCAUCUGGACUAUCCAAUACAAUAUUACAUGAAUUCAAAGAUAUUGAACCCUCAAUUCCAUGCUUAUCACAUGGAGGUCAUCUUGUGUUCUGUAGAAAAAUUAAUAUUCCGAGUUGAUGCGUCUAUGGUUUACACUAGUCUUUCGAGUCUUUUGAGUUUUGACUGUCUCUGCCUGAAAUGCGGGAAAUGCAGGGAAAUAUUUGCUCUCAUGGUUGUGCAUUUGGGACAAAAAUAACCUCAAACUCUGCCAAAUGCUGCCAUCAAGAGCCGGAAAUGUUGAAAUUUCCUACCAGCUAAUACGCCGUUCUGAUGCCAGGAGCUGGUGAUGGAGAUUCAUAGAGAUUCAACCCUAUAUCAUACUAGAGCUAAGCACCUCCACUAGUUAUGAAGGUUGAAGAAAUAGCCAAUUUUUGACACGAUAAGGAAGCUAUGAUACGAGUUUCCAUGAAGGACACCUACGAUUUUUUGUUAUAAGCUACCCUUUGUUUCUUAAUUGUCAAAGAAACAAUGGCUAAUACUUUAUUACAUCACACUGUAUUUUUUGAAGUCUUGAUUAAAAUGACAAGAUUAUUGUUUAAUCGCCUGUUGGUUUGAUAGGAUUGACUGCGACUUUCCUUAGAAAUUUGUUGUGAAAGGAGCAUCAUCAUCUAUAUGGUUCGUAGCAUGAUGUGAGUCCCACAAAACAUACUUUGAUUUGGUCAAGGUAACUAAAUUCAACAUGAGAAAUCGUGACUAGUUAUACACUUCCCACUCCUACGGACCACGCUAAAUAUGAUAUUAUAUGGCUGCUUUUGCUUCUAGGACAUGCAAGUUAUAUGGAUAUUUGGUGCAAUCGUUAUGGACUCGGAACAUCUCCAAUAAGAACUUUUCAAAGUUACAACUUUACAUGGUUAAUCUAAAUUUAUAAAUUAUGAAGUAGUUGAAAUAUUUAGAGUUUUAGAAUCGUUUUGGGAAGAAAGAAAAGAAGAAAAUGAUUACCCUUUAAUCUUCGACAAUAAUUAGAGUUUCUUUUUUAUGUGAAAUAUAUUGGAAUAAAUAUCAAUUCGAAUUCAAUUUGAAUGAAGAUGAGUGUUAUUAAGUUAAAUAUUUAAUAUAUUUGUUUUUUGUUUGAAUUUGAUUUAUAUCUAAACAAGGUUUAACAUUAUUGGGUGUUUAGACAAUUUAUUUUUUAGCAAUGUCUAAAUACUAUUAAAUGGUGAGUUGUAUAUUUUUAUUAAUGUUUGCAUACUGUUAAGUGUUAAUUAAUUCUAUUUAUUUUUACAUAUAAAAAAUAUUUAUAAUAAUAAUUAUUAUGUUUUAUUUUAUUUUACAAAAUUAAGAUAAAAUAUUUUAAAACUCACUAGGAAAUUGGUCAUUGAAUAAUAAUUAAGAUUUUUUAUAUUUUGAAAAUGAAUUAAUAAUUGGUAUGACUGAAUAAUAAUUAGGAUUUUUAAUUGUAUUUGAUUUCUAAGAAAAUAUUAGAGUAUUUUUAGGUUAGGUUUCAUAAUUACUCAUUAAUUUUAUAUGUUAUGUUAUUUGAAUUAAUGAAUUUGUGAUUAAAAUGUGAGGAUUGAUGUUAAGGAUAACGAUUAUACAUUUAACUUGGAUAUGAAGUCGUGAAAUUAAUCAACCACCAUAUGGUCCUACUUGCUUAGUUUAAGGGGAUAUAAGAGGUAUGCUAACCUUGACUUAGGGUUAAAUAAGACAAGAAGAUCAUUUUGAGAGGGUCUUUAUCCAAUAAUAAGAUCACAACCUACCCAAUAUAAGCUUGAUUUUUAUAAUACUAGGUUUCUUUACAAAAGAUACAUAGUCUUAAGAGUUUUACAUUUUGCUAAAUUCAUAUGGUUUGCUUUAAGGUGAAUGCUCAAUUAUUAAUGCAAGUUUAAUUUUUGUAUAACAAUCAUAUCGUAUAAUCCAGUCACUUUCAUUCUUACAAGUAAUAAAUCGGUCAAGCCUAAUUAUGUGGAUUAGAAAAGAAAUCUAAACCUAGUUUUCACACAAGAGGAGUUAAAAUAGGUAAUUUAGGAAUUUGCUUCAAAUACCCUUAAUGAGCAAUCCUCACAGGAAGAAGGAGAUGCUUAUCAUAGAUGACAUAAGGCAAAUCAAAAGGCUAAAUAUAUUAUACUUGGGUCAUUGGAUAAGAUAUUGCAAGAGUAACAUGUGUCUUAUGUCACGACUUAUGAUAUUUUCUUCGAUCUACAAGAGAUCUUCGGUGACAAAGGUGAGCACAAGCUGCUUUAAGGACUAUCAUGAACGCUAGGAUGAUCCAACUCUUUAAUGAGAUAAAAAUCCUUAAAGCUUAUAUUGAUAGGAAAACCAAGGUUGAUUUGAUCUUAGAGAUCUGGUCGGAUUUCUUUAGGAAAUUCGAGCUUAACUAUUUUAUUUAUGAAUGGUUGAGAAACUUGCUAGAGCUUAUGAGAGAGCUUCAAAUGCAUGACUGAGGGAUUUCUUAAAGAUAAGAAAGUAAUGAUUUUAAAAAUUUAAUGUAUAAAAAAUUAUAUUAUCUUAAAUUUUAAAAUUUAUGAAAGUAAGUUUUAAAGGCAUAGAUUAAAUUUAUAUUUUUUAUAUAAAAUAUUCUUCUUUUAUAUAAAAAGUUUCUAUUUUUAAAAAUAAAAAUAGGAAAUAUAUCCAAACAAAUAGUGGAUUUUUUCAUCGUUCUACCAACUUCGUUCCGUUCUCUCACCUUUGUUAUAUCAUAAUGCUGCCAUUUGGCCUAUACUCAAAAUUAGUUCACACAUGUACUUAUUUUUAAGAGCAUCCACACUCUUAUUUGUCAUUUCUUAUUUAAUUCAAAAUUUUAUGCCCAGUAAAAUAAGUUUGGUCCACUAAGGAGAAUAUGUUGAGAGAUUCAUUAAAAAUAUUGAGACUUACUCUGUACUUAUUGUAGCAUUAUUAUUUUGAUUUAGAUGUGAUAUUAUUAUAAUUAUUUUAUUAUGAUUCUAUUUAUUUAAAAAAAUAUAUAAAUGAUAAAAACAAACUGGAGUGGGAAAAUAGGAGUGACUUUCUGCCAUCCCAAGGAGCAUAAAAGUUCCAUGCAUCCACGGUGUACUCUUCUGCUGUCUGUCUUUAUGGAUUUUCUCCGUAGAGAUGGCCAUGUCUCAGAACACAACAAUACCAGUGAAAGUGGGAGUGGUUCUUGAGAUGGACACAUGGCUGGGGAAGAUGGGUUUAGCUGCAUCUCCAUGGCCCUCUCAUAUUUUAAAUAAACAAUGAAUAAUAUAAUUAAAAAAUAGUAAAUGAAUAAUGAUAUAUAGAUUCAAGUUUAUCUUUAAUCAUGUCAAUUCUAAUUCUAAUAUUUUCAAAUUGAUAUGUUUUUAACUUAAUGAAUCUAUAAAAUAUAUCUAUUUUUUGUUAAAAAUAAAUAAUAAUAUCAUAGAAAAAUGAUAAAUGUUAAUAAUAUUUUAUUUAAAAUUAAUUGUAAAAUAAAUAUAAUUGUAGAACCUUUCUUUUUGGACCGGAUAGUGGAGGCCUUCUCUAUAAAGGGGAGUGAGAGGCCAAUAGCAGGAAGAAUGUUCUAUAUAAGGGUGGUUUUUAGGGAGAGAGGAAUGAAGACCAAUGGUAGGGCGAAACGUAGAGGGACUUUUUGAGAGACUCUUUCUUUAGAGUGGGAUUCUGUAGGCCGUGAAAAGGAGAGGGAAGGUUUUGGAGAGAGAGAGGGGACUGGGGGAAAAGGUAGCUUGAGGGGAAAGAAAAGGGGUUCAUAGAGAGAUCUAGAAAGGGAGAUACAGGGGGGAUUUUCUGGUUUUGAGAAAAAGAGAGAGCUAUGAGUCUCCUGAUUUUCUGAGGGGUUUUAAAGAAAGUGAGUUAGAGGAGAAGGAUUCAGCAGGGAGGUUUUUGGGGAUAGCUGGAGAUAGAAUUUCAGAAGAGAAGAAGGAUUCUCUGGCGGGGUAAGAAUCAUGGAGGAAGAGCAUUGAGAAGUUCAGCAAGCUUUGCUACUCAGAGGACUUCUCAGGUAAGUUCACUGGGUAUAUUCUUGUUCACCUUUAUUUUCUAUGUUCUUCAUCUUCACCUCUUGCUGUUUGGAGCUUUGUUUGCUUGUUUGGUCAUGGAUAACAGAGGCUACACAUGAGUUGUGCUGUUUUUUUUAGCUUGUUCAUAUGUUCAUUGUUAUUGUUUCAUCCACUGUUUUUUUUUUAGUAUUAUUUGAACUCACUAAAUCUCUGUUUCAUUUUGCCUUAUUGGGAGAUAUCGGUUGCCUUUUCUUGUUUGAAUCUGUUUGUAUCCAUCCCCACCAAUCUGAGCUCGUUGAAUGAAACAUGAAAUGUGGCUUUCAUUGGUUCAUUCUUGUUUCUUUUCUCCUUGCUCUGUUUUCUUGGUUAUCUUCCUCUGUUUUUUUGUGGGUAUUUCGGGUGCAUGGUAUCAUGUGUAUCACCGGUUGAUGAUGCUAGAGAUUGGCUUGUGGAUGCUGUUGGAAGUUGGUACCCAAGUUUGUAAAAAGGAAAACAGGCUCAGUGGUUUCAUGUGAUUACUGUUUCAUGAGGACGAUUUUUUGGCACUAAGACAUGGGUUACCGGAGAAUGGUGAAUAUAUGGUUUGGGUUUCUUCAGCUUUGGGCCCCUAUUGAGCUUUUCAGCAAGUUAAAACGAACUGGAAACUCUCACCUCUGCUACUUGAACACAGUUUGAUAAUUUUCCUGGUUUUGUGGAUAACACUAAGGGCUGCAAACAACUUACAGGGUUCCUCUUUGACAGUAUGAUAGAAUAUUUAGACACGAAAUACUACAUGCGCUCUGAUUCAGGAUGCAAGACAUGGACUAGACUGCUAUGGUGGAUGAAUGGGAAGAAGUUGAUCAAGUUAGUUGUUGAGGAGGUUAGGAGAUGGGCAGAUUUAGCUGGAAGGGUUUCUAAUGAAGUAAUAGAGUGGGAGAUGAGUCACUCUUUGCGAAAAUGGACUGAUUUUGAGAUCAAGGAGUUAUGCAAAUCAUUGCAGAAAACCAUGAGCCGAAGCUCAAUGCCUACAAAUAUGGUGACUCCGAUGGAGUAAGAAAUGAAACUUUGUGGCUGGAGGAGUCUUCUUCAUGGAACUUAGCAAGGAGUUGACCAGAAAGAUCUCUGCAAUAGAGCUCCAAACAAAUGGGUCUAGCUUUGCGUUGACUGAAGGGGAUCUUUCACAACCCGAAAAAAUCUAAACAGAAUUGUCUUCAAUGUUGCAAAAAAAGGAAGAUUUAACACUGUAAAGCAGGAGCCAUGACUCAGAAAGUUACAGUCCAGUUGUUGGAGGUGUUUGAUUGCAUCUGCCAAGCAAAACCCAGCUCCUGUUUUGAUUUUCUUUUGUACGUGCACUUUUUGGAAAAAGCUGUUACUUUUUGGUACAUUAUAAUGGGACUUCACAUCCAUUAAUCAGGUGCAGAGGGUGGGAUAUACAAAGCUUCAGUGUGUCUUUUGGUAUCAGGGCUUUUCCAAGGUUUGAAUAGUUUGUGGUGGUGUUCUUGACUCGGUAUCAUGACUAGCCUGUCGGGUCCUGAUUCCAGACGAAAAUAUUCUUGGUGAUGGGGCAGCCAUAUAGGUCUCAAAAAUUCCAAAUGGUUUCUGAAAAACCUUACAGAUAUGGAUGCCAAAGUUAAACUAAUGAUCAAGCUUACUCAGGAAGAUGUAGAUUCUUUUACAAGGAGGGCAGAUGAUGUACUACAAGAAACGUUCUGAGCUUAUGAAAUUGGUUGUAGAGUUCUACUGAGCAUACCGUGCUUUGACUAAGAGAUAUGAUCAUGCAAUUGGGGCACUGCUCCGGGCCCAUCAAACUAUAACGGAAGCAUUUCCCAACCAAGUCCCUGCAAAGUCCCAGCCCCAUGCACCAGCCAUUCUCUAUCUUGGGUACAUACAUGAGCGUCAAUAAGCAAGUUUGCUGGAAUACCUCAAGCAUCACAACUGGAAAUAAGGUCAGAUACAACCUACAACUAAAGCUAACCUCUCCACCCCCCGAGAUCUACUUCCACAUGAGAAUGCAUGGCCACCCUCAUCAUGCUAUCUUACGCCCGCAAAUCCUCCCAACAUCUCCCCACAACAUCACGCCCACCGAUCACUUUUCAUACCCACCAUACCCAUCACCGUGCUCACCACCUUCAACUUAUUCCUUUCUUCAUACUUACCACCUUCCUGUCCUCCAUCACUCAUCUCCCACCAAUUCCCCAUGAGCUUCCUUUCUACCAACUCCCUAAGUACAUGCAGCUGUUGCAUUGCAUAGCCACCUUCAAUGCAACUCCCAUGCACGUGUUUUCACUUACCCUCAAGCCCAGGACCCAUCAACCUACCUCAAACCAGUUUGGAGAAAUUCAGUGUUGUCGCUUUAUCAUAGUGGGAGAACAAUGUAGAGGAAGCUCAAUCACCAGGAUCCCAAGGAAUUUGCGCUCUUGGAUCAACUUGAUAAACUUAGAAUGUUCAGUUAAUUAGAUGCUGAUAUUUGUCUUUUAGGUAAUUUGUUGAGUGUUAUGGACGUAUUGUUCGAUUUGGGCAGCUUUAUGGUGAACAUCCUACAUUAACUGUGAUUUUCCCUUACCAAGUUGGACACCAUCAUUCUAAAGAGGAAGUGCUACAAGCGGAACAGGUGAGACUGAAAUGCAUGAGGACCCCUAUAAGAGGUUUGAUUAUGUUGGUACUUAGAACUGCAUUCAAUAUGUGGGUGUUGAUAUUUGGAGCCCUGUGUUCAGGCUGCUAUUGGACAUCCGAUUACUGCAUGUGGAAAGUGGGCUGCUUUCUAAAGGCACUAAAUUGAACAAAUAUCAUGCGAUUGAAUUAGAUGCAAAUGGCUAACGAAAUCAGGUUUGAGAAAGACAGUGUGAAUAAAGGCAGUGUAUGGGUUUUGGAUCAGAAACUUAAUCGACCCAUGGAUGAGAAGGCAAGUAGAAGAACAUCAGAAAAGUGAUUUAGAGAAGCUCCCUUGCGAAUUAUCUAUAUUAUUGGCAUUUUCAUGAGGAUUAUACUCACAUGCUCGUAAACAAAAAGGUCAAGUUGGUGAGUUUGAUUUUCGAUUUCCAGUUGGUAUACCAAGCAUUUAAAGUUCGUAUGGAGUCAAACCCACUGCCUUCGGUACUGCAUGAUCAGACCCUAGCUUUGACCUCCCCAACAAAUCCACCCAACUCAUCAUCCAAGCCCUCACAAUCAGCUUACGCCACAUCACUGCCCACCAAAAACUCCUCAUUUCCAUACGACAUUGGCCACUGUUUGACAUGGCAUUAUUUUCUAUUGAUAGACUUCCAGCAAAUCUCUAAUUGAUUCUGCUUUGUACGAAGCCCACUAAUAUGGACCCGACAACCACCUUUGCUGAUUGUCCCAUGCGUUUGGGUGGGUCUCUAGAGUCUGGAUGAAGCUGUAAAACUGGUGAAGCAAGGGGUGCUUAAGCCUCAGGAUUUCAUAUUCUUUGUUGGAUAUGUUGGGUGGCAGUCGGAUCAGUUGGAGAGAAGAGAUUGGAUCAGACUAUUAGUAUGUGGCUACAUACAGCCCAAACGUGAUCAGUGUGGUCUCAACAGGAUCUUCCUCUGGUCUAUGAGAGGAGAUUUCAUCGUCAAAGGGGUAGUCAUUAUUCUGGACUGAUCGAGAAGCUCAAGCAAGAUAUGUGGUUACCUUUGAGCUUACCGAAUUUAAGAAGUUGAUCCGCCUGAGAUUGCCGAAGUUUGGAUUCUCGUGUGACACAAGUAGAGGAGACAAAAUGAAUGAUCAGACUCAAGAGAACAAGCCCCAUUCCUGCCAGCAUUCCUCUACCUCGAGACUCACUCCCAUAUGGCCACCCUCAGUGCACCACCCAAAGGCCAAGUGGCAUCCUCUUAAUUUUUCAUCUUUUGAUGUUAAAAUUUAAUUUUCAAAACUUCAAUUUUCAAAUUUUAUUUUUCUAAAUAAUUUUAAUUUCACUCUAGUUUUCAAAUAAUUUUAAGUCAUUUAUUUUCUUCUUCCUUCCUUAGGGUUUAGGGUCACCAAAAAUCUCGUUUUUAAUAAACUUGCCACAUUUCCCUUCGGGUAAGUACUUUUACAAAUUUUCUUUAAUUUUAAAAUAAUUUUUCGUUUUUCUCGAUUUUUAAUAAACAUGAAUGAAUUUUCAUAAUUCCACAACAAGGAAAUUUACAAGAUUAAUUCAUACAAAAUCAAUUGGGUUUUGGUGGGAACCCAACAUCUAUGAUAUUUUUCUUUAAAAAUAAUUUGAAUGAAGUGCAUAAUUGACAUUGAUGAUUUCUUGCUUUAUUUUGUGACACAUGCGAUAUAGUUUGUAUUCAUUAUUGUUUACUAACUCCAUUUCAUGAUAGUGCAUUAUUGUUUGCCGAUAAGAUAUGCUCUCACUCUCACUUUGUUUAUUUAUUCUUUGUGACUUCCAUUAUGUGACUAUUCUUUGGUAUCUAUUGAUUUCUUUAUCAAUUGUUACACUUGCCUCACUUUGAUUAGUAGAGACUUCAUUAUAGGGCUUAAAUGAUUGCUACGGUAUUUUACCGUACCUUCCCAAUAGGUAAUUUGACUCCGGACUUAGAUUUGGUUUUCAUAAACCGUGUUUUCUUAAUAAGGAGUUAUACUUAAGGUUUUCUUUCUUAUUUUGUUUUCCCUUUAAAAAUAAAAUAAAAAUAAGUAGCGACUCCAAGUUUCUUUCAAAAAUAAUAUUUUUUUGUCAAAUGAAAAGCGAGUUCGUCAUCGAGUGGGAACUCAUCGCGCAAAAUGCAGGGUCUAUAAUAAUUCUUUAUUUUAAAUUAUGCAAAUAUAUGUAUGAAACUUUGUUAUAUUUGACGGGACCUACAAGUUUCUUCAUCCCGCGGGUAAAGACACGAGCCCAGCUGGGUCUCCUUUAGAAGUUGACUCCAGAGUAAUCCUGCUUCCAGCUGGCUUCUGGUUUCAAAAUUCCAAGUCCUAUAAAUAGAUCUCUUUCUCUCCAAUAUUAGGAGUACCAUAGCUUCCCACAACUACAAGUGCAAAGAUGAGAAAGAACCUUAGCCAACUCCUUACCUCUCUCUUGUUCGUUCUCUUUCCCACGAUUUUCUUCAUUGAAAUGAGCAUGGCACAGAACACAACAAUACCGGUUAAAGUGGGAGUGGUUCUUGACAUGGACACAUGGCUGGGGAAGAUGGGUUUGAGCUGCAUCUCCAUGGCGCUCUCAGACUUCUAUGCCUCUCAUGGGCACUACAAGACUAGGCUGGUUCUGGAAAUCAGAGAUUCCAAAAGGGAUGUUAUGGGUGCAGCUGCAGCAGGUACUCUCGUUUCAUAGAACUUAGAAUACAUUUAGAAAACAAAUGUAGAGACAUAUGGAAGUAAAAAUUACAUUAUCUUGAAAUAUGACUUGAAAAUACAUGGAGAAUCCAUCACCAUAUUGAACUUGAUUGCUUAGUGUAUUUAUAUUCAAUUUUUCAAAAAAAUAAUAACCGGAGAUCUUAUAAUUUCUUACCACUUUAUGACUAGUAAUUACUAAACAUGUCCAUAAAAAUUUUGCCAUUUAAUUAUAAUGUUAUUAUGGAAUUAUCGUGAAUGACGAGGACAACCAUAGAAAGUUACAAGGCAGAAAACCUCCUUUAAGCAACACAAUCCCUGAAAUGCAGCACUGAAUUGAACAGUGAAAGAAAUCCAGAAGCAUCCACCCAGAUUAGAAUUAAUUCGAAAUUUUCACAUUAAGUAAAUUGAUUUGUAGACCAAUUAAGGAUUUUGAUUUUUUGAUUUUUUUUUUUCUCUUUAACUUUAGCUGAUGGGAGUUAUUGUUUGAUAAAUAUAAGAGAAGUUGAGGAAAACGAGUGUUCAAAUUGAACCGACGUUAGAAUGCCCAUCGAAGACGGCAAAAGUUUAGUCAAAUUGUACCCCGCGUUUUCAACUAAGCAACAUUUCUUUUCUUCACGAGGAAGACUUUUCUUUGUUAACCACACGAUGGUUAAAAGACGCAAAAGUCUCCAUGAAUUUAAUUUCCCCCUUGGUUUAAAAGUGACGCGUAUGACCUAUGGCACUAAGAAAUAAUGAGAUGUAGAAUGGAAGGCAUAUAAAAAAAUUAAGGUUAUCUCCACUUUUCUGGUAUAACAAGAUUGAUGAUUUUUUCACGAAUUCUAGAAUUCAUGGGACCAAGGGGAUGUAUUUUCCUUUUUUGUGCGUACCUUGUUUGAUUGCUGAUAAUAUAGUAGAAAUAGAAUGAAACAUUAGAAUCAUAAAAUUUUAAUGAUUGUGAAAUUCAGCUCUAGAUUUAUUACAAAAUGAGGAAGUUCAAGCCAUCAUAGGACCAGCAUCCUCCAUGCAGGCCAACUUUGUGAUUGGUCUCGGAGACAAGGCUCAUGUGCCCAUCAUUUCAUUUUCCGCAACUAGUCCUUCCCUUUCUUCGCUGCGGAGUCGAUAUUUUGUCCGAGCCACACUGAAUGACUCAGCUCAAGUACCAGCUAUGAGGGCAAUUGUCCAAGCCUUUGGGUGGAGAGAAGUUGUGCUCAUUUACGUGGACAACGAGUAUGGAAAUGGAGUGAUACCAUAUCUUACUGAUGCCUUGCAAGAGAUUGACACCCGUAUCUCCUACCGGAGCGUCAUUCAUCCAUUAGCCACUGAUGAUCAAAUCCUCGAAGAGCUUUACAAGUUGAUGACGAAGCCAACCAGAGUUUUCAUUGUACACAUGCUUACACCUCUAGGCCCACGGCUUUUCACCAGAGCGAAUGAGAUUGGAAUGAUGAAAGAAGGUUAUGUUUGGAUUCUAACUGAUGGGUUAACUGAUAUCUUGAGUACUUUGGAUCCAUCUGUCAUUGAUUCAAUGCAAGGAGUGCUGGGCGUGAAGCCUCAUGUUCCAAGAUCGAAAGAGCUUGAAAGUUUUAAAAUCAGAUGGAAAAGGAAAAUUCAACAAGAAUAUCCAACCAAUGAAAGCUUUGAGCUGAACAUUUUUGGACUCUGGGCUUAUGAUGCUGCUUCUGGGCUAGCCAUGGCAGUUGAAAAACUUGGGCCAACAAACUUCAGCUUCCAAAAGUCUAAUACUCACAGAAAUUCAACCGAUCUUGAUACUGUAGGAGUCUCCCAAAUUGGUCCAAGUCUUCUCCAAUCACUAUUAAGUACUAGAUUUAAGGGCCUCAGUGGACACUUUCAAAUUUUGAACAGGCAACUACGUUCAUCAGCUUUUCAGGUGGUCAAUGUGAUCGGCAAAGGGGAAAGAGGGGUUGGAUUUUGGACACCAGAGAAUGGAACUGUAAGAAAGUUACAUUCUACUUCCAAGGCCAAUCUAGGAACAAUCGUAUGGCCAGGAGAAUCUCCCUCCGUUCCUAAAGGUUGGGUCCUUCCCACCAAUAAGAAGAAGAUGAGAAUAGGAGUACCAGUCACCAAGGGUUUUGGUGAAUUCGUAAAGGUGACACGAGAUCCUAGCACUAACGCAACGGAGGUCACUGGAUUUUCCAUAGCAGUCUUCGAUGCAGUGAUGGCAGCAUUACCAUAUGCUGUUCCUUAUGAGUACAGUCCCUUCCAGACGCCCGAUGGCGAUCCAGCGGGUGAUUACAACGAUUUGAUAUAUCAAGUAUAUCUCCAGGUCAGUUAAUCGAACUCUUUACCUUUCCUGGUGCAUAGUGGUAACUCUAGGUUUAGCUUCAAUUAUGAUGGAGUUUGUCAAAAUAAAAACCAAACCUGCAGCAUAUUUUCCCGUAAUGCAUAACAGAAUGCCCCAUUGUUUAUUGUGAACAGAAGUAUGAUGCUGUGGUGGGAGAUACUACUAUUCUAGCGAACAGGUCCUUGUAUGUAGACUUUACACUACCGUACACAUAAUCUGGGGUGUCAAUGAUCGUGCCCAUCGUAGAUAGAAGAAGAAAAAAUGCAUGGGUUUUCUUGAAGCCACUUACUUGGGACCUUUGGGUGACAAGCUCUUGUUUCUUUGUAUUCAUUGGCUUUGUGAUUUGGGUUCUUGAACAUCGAGUAAAUAAAGAUUUCAGAGGGCCUCGUUCACAUCAAGUUGGCACUAUCUUCUGGUUUUCAUUCUCAACAUUGGUGUUUGCUCAGAGUAAUUUCUCUUCCACCUCCUUGAAUUUUAUCCAGCAACUUAUCUACUCUUGUAAUAUUCAAAUACUCAUGAUACGAAGCAUAUUGAGCACAUCUCAAACACAAUCGAAACUAACUUCUAGUAUGGCCUGCUUGCUUGUUUCCCAUGAUUACAACCUCUAUUAAUAUAUGGACAUUCCAUACAAUAUGCAAGUAAAUUUCAGGGUAAUUUUUAUGUUUAAGAAAUUAUAUAUAUUUGUCUUUAUAUUGAUUUUCUGGAGUUGAUUUUUCCAUUUCACUCUUAAAUUUUGUUAACAGAGGAGAGAAUUGUCAACAACUUGGCUCGGUUUGUGGUGAUCAUAUGGCUUUUUGUGGUGCUGAUUCUUACUCAAAGUUACACAGCCAGCUUGACUUCAAUGUUGACAGUUCAACAGCUCAACCCAACCAUCACCGAUAUAAAUGAGCUGAUAAAGAAAGGGGAGCGUGUAGGUUGCCAACAUGCCUCUUUCGUUCAUGAAUUCUUGAUCAAAUGGAUGAAAUUUGAUGAGUCUAAGCUAGUAAUCUAUGAGUCACCAGAAGAACUGGAUGAAUUAUUUUCAAA
rnacentral:lncRNA from 1 species